CUGGAAAUGAUGGAUAAAUCCUUGACGCUGUGAUUAUGAUGAUCUAAAUACUGUGUAGUAUUCGUACUGUCUGAUCCAG
rnacentral:snoRNA from 1 species